rnacentral:rRNA from 1 species
GACGAACGCUGGCGGCGUGCCUAAUACAUGCAAGUCGAACGCACAGUUUAUACCGUAGCUUGCUACACCAUAGACUGUGAGUUGCGAACGGGUGAGUAACGCGUAGGUAACCUGCCUGGUAGCGGGGGAUAACUAUUGGAAACGAUAGCUAAUACCGCAUAAUAUUAAUUAUUGCAUGAUAAUUAAUUGAAAGGUGCAAUUGCACCACUACCAGAUGGACCUGCGUUGUAUUAGCUAGUAGGUGAGGUAACGGCUCACCUAGGCGACGAUACAUAGCCGACCUGAGAGGGUGAUCGGCCACACUGGGACUGAGACACGGCCCAGACUCCUACGGGAGGCAGCAGUAGGGAAUCUUCGGCAAUGGACGAAAGUCUGACCGAGCAACGCCGCGGGAGUGAAGAAGGUUUUCGGAUCGUAAAGCUCUGUUGUAAGGGAAGAACGGGUGUGAGAGUGGAAAGUUCACACUGUGACGGUAUCUUACCAGAAAGGGACGGCUAACUACGUG